rnacentral:rRNA from 1 species
AUUCCAGCUCCAAUAGCGUAUAUUAGAGUUGUUGCGGUUAAAAAGCUCGUAGUUGGAUUUCUGUUGAGGUUGGGCGGUCCGCACUACGUGCGAGUAUCUGCUUCGGCCUUGGCAUCCUCUCGGAAAACGCUACUGUGCUUGAUUGCAUGGUGCGGGGUUCGGGACUUUUACUUUGAGGAAAUUAGAGUGUUCACGGCAGGCAAUCGCCCUGAAUAUAUUAGCAUGGAAUAAUAAUAUAGGAUCUGAUGCCUAUUUUGUUGGUUUCUAGGCGUGAGAUAAUGAUUAAUAGGGACAAUUGGGGGGAUUCGUAUUAUGGCGUCAGAGGUGGAAUUCUUGGAUUGCCAUACGACGAACUACUGCGAAAGCAUUUCUCAGGGAUGUUUUCAUCA